AUGUCUGCGCUGACCCGCUUGGUACCUUUUGGUCCCGUCGGAGGCCUCCUGCUCUGGGGCUGCCGCCUGUGGGGAGCUGGAGACCAUGGAGUCCGUCAUGCUGGCGGUGGUGUACAUAUUCAGCCCUGGUACAGGGAGUUUCCCCAGCUUACCUGGUCCCAGGUGAUCCACGGUGAGUUCUUAAGCUCACUCAUGUGGUUCUGGAUUCUUUGGUGAUUUUGGCAUGAGUCAGAUGCUGUGCUGGGUCACCUUUCAUAUCCAGAUCCUUCACAGUGGACAGAUGAAGAACUGGGAAUCCCUCCCGAUGAUGAGGACU
rnacentral:lncRNA from 1 species